rnacentral:rRNA from 1 species
GACGAACGCUGGCGGCGUGCUUAACACAUGCAAGUCGAACGGAAAGGCCCUGCUUGCAGGGUACUCGAGUGGCGAACGGGUGAGUAACACGUGGGUGAUCUGCCCUGCACUUCGGGAUAAGCCUGGGAAACUGGGUCUAAUACCGGACAGGAGCCAUUUUUAGUGUGAUGGUUGGAAAGUUUUUUCGGUGUAGGAUGAGCUCGCGGCCUAUCAGCUUGUUGGUGGGGUAAUGGCCUACCAAGGCGGCGACGGGUAGCCGGCCUGAGAGGGUGGACGGCCACAUUGGAACUGAGAUACGGCCCAGACUCCUACGGGAGGCAGCAGUGGGGAAUAUUGCACAAUGGGCGCAAGCCUGAUGCAGCGACGCCGCGUGGGGGAUGACGGCCUUCGGGUUGUAAACUCCUUUCGCUAGGGACGAAGCUUUUUGUGACGGUACCUAGAUAAGAAGCACCGGCUAACUACGUG